rnacentral:tRNA from 1 species
GGGUAGAGCAUCGCCUUGCCAAGGCGAGGGUCGCGGGUUCGAAUCCCGUCUUCCGCU